rnacentral:rRNA from 1 species
ACACGUCUACAUUAGAUACCCCGGGUAGUCCCAGCCGUAAACUAUGCGCGUUAGGUGUAUCGGUGACCACGAGUUACCGAGGUGCCGAAGGGAAACCGUGAAACGUGCCGCCUGGGAAGUACGGUCGCAAGGCUGAAACUUAAAGGAAUUGGCGGGGAGCACCACAACAGGUGGAGCCUGCGGUUUAAUUGGACUCAACGCCGGGAAGCUCACCGGAUAGGACAGCAGAAUGAUUGCCGGGCUGAAGACCCUGCAUGACUAGCUG